rnacentral:rRNA from 1 species
GAACGCUGGCGGUAUGCUUAACACAUGCAAGUCGAACGGUCACUUCGGUGAUAGUGGCGGACGGGUGAGUAACGCGUGAGAAUCUGUCUUCAGGUCGGGGACAACAGUUAGAAAUGACUGCUAAUACCGGAUGUGCCUUUGGGUGAAAGAUUUAUUGCCUGAAAAAGAGCUCGCGUCAGAUUAGCUAGUAGGUGGUGUAAGAGACUACCUAGGCUCCGAUCUGUAGCUGGUCUGAGAGGACGAUCAGCCACACUGGAACUGAGACACGGUCCAGACUCCUACGGGAGGCAGCAGUGGGGAAUUUUCCGCAAUGGGCGAAAGCCUGACGGAGCAAUACCGCGUGAGGGACGAAGGCUUUUGGGUCGUAAACCUCUUUUCUCAAGGAAGAUGAUGACGGUACUUGAGGAAUAAGCAUCGGCUAACUCUGUG